rnacentral:rRNA from 1 species
AUUGAACGCUGGCGGCAGGCCUAACACAUGCAAGUCGAACGAGUGGCGGACGGGUGAGUAAUGUCUGGGAAACUGCCUGAUGGAGGGGGAUAACUACUGGAAACGGUAGCUAAUACCGCAUACCAUCAGAUGUGCCCAGAUGGGAUUAGCUUGUUGGGGGGGUAACGGCUCACCAAGGCGACGAUCCCUAGCUGGUCUGAGAGGAUGACCAGCCACACUGGAACUGAGACACGUUCCAGACUCCUACGGGAGGCCGCAGUGGGGAACAUUGGACAACGGGGGCAAGCCUGAUGCAGCCAUGCCGCGUGUAUGAAGAAGGCCGUCGGAUUGGAAAGUACUUUUAGCGCGCAGGCGUUACCCGCAGAAGAAGCACCUGCGAACGUCGCGACAGCAGCCGCGGUAAUAC